rnacentral:rRNA from 1 species
CGUAGGUGGCAAGCGUUGUCCGGAUUUAUGGGUUUAAAGGGUGCGUAGGCGGUUCCAUAAGUCAGUGGUGAAAUACGGCAGCUCAACUGCCGAGGUGCCAUUGAUACUGCGGAACUUGAGUACUGAUGAGGUAGGCGGAAUUGACGGUGUAGCGGUGAAAUGCUUAGAUAUCGUCAAGAACACCGAUAGCGAAGGCAGCUUACCAAGCAGUAACUGACGCUGAGGCACGAAAGUGCGGGGAUCAAACAGGAUUAGAUACCCUGGUAGUCCGCACAGUAAACGAUGAUUACUCGAUGUUGGCGAUACACAGCCAGCGUCUUAGCGAAAGCGAUAAGUAAUCCACCUGGGGAGUACGCCCGCAAGGGUG